CCGGACUGGCGAGCUGAAUGUCAGCAACUCCAGUGAAGCGCACAGGGCAAAUAGGAAGCCGAGGGUCAGCAUGAUGACUACCGCCCGCAAAGGUGUGAGGGUGCAGGACAAUCCCUGGUCCUCUAUAAACUAAGGAGAACGCUGCUUGGGAAAUUGUGGAUGAAGGAUUAGGAAAGUACUCUGACCCUGAUGUCUCUAUGCCAGUUGUCCCAUAUGGGGAUUGAAGAUGCUUUGGAUCUCUCUGAGAACAGCCUGCAGGAGGAAUUCAGAGUUUGUAGGAUCGAACGUAGCCUAGCAAUUGCACCAGAAUCAAAAUAACUUACAAAAGUUCUUAACAAAAUUAAGAGAAGAAAACUCAGAGAUUAUCAAUCAAUCAUUAGAGCGGAGAAAGAUCUCCGAAGAUGAUGCUGAUAAGUGGUGACUCGUUGCCUGCAGCUCUGAUGCAAAUCAUCAAAUAUUCCUAUUUAGGACUACU